rnacentral:rRNA from 1 species
CAGGACGAACGCUGGCGGCGUGCCUAAUACAUGCAAGUCGAACGGUCUUUCUAUGGAAGCUUGCUUCCACUGAGAAGAUAGUGGCGAACGGGUGAGUAACACGUGGGUAACCUGCCCAUAAGAGGGGGGAUAACAUCCGGAAACGGGUGCUAAUACCGCAUAGUUUUCUUGAUCGCAUGAUCGGGAAAGGAAAGACGGCCUUUGUGCUGUCGCUUAUGGAUGGACCCGCGGCGUAUUAGUUAGUUGGUGAGGUAACGGCUCACCAAGACGAUGAUACGUAGCCGACCUGAGAGGGUGAUCGGCCACAUUGGGACUGAGACACGGCCCAAACUCCUACGGGAGGCAGCAGUAGGGAAUCUUCCGCAAUGGACGAAAGUCUGACGGAGCAACGCCGCGUGAGUGAAAGAAGGUUUUCGGAUCGUAAAACUCUGUUGUCAGAGAAGAACAAGUCGGAGAGUAACUGCUCCGGCCUUGACGGUAUCUGACCAGAAAGCCACGGCUAACUACGUGCCAGCCGCUGC